rnacentral:rRNA from 1 species
CCUACGGGAGGCAGCAGUGGGGAAUAUUGGACAAUGGGGGAAACCCUGAUCCAGCAAUGCCGCGUGAGUGAUGAAGGCCUUAGGGUUGUAAAGCUCUUUCAGAAGUGAAGAUGAUGACGGUAACUUCAGAAGAAGCUCCGGCUAACUCCGUGCCAGCAGCCGCGGUAAUACGGAGGGAGCUAGCGUUGUUCGGAAUUACUGGGCGUAAAGAGCGUGUAGGCUGUUAGGUAAGUCAGAGGUGAAAUCCCUAAGCUCAACUUAGGAACUGCCUUUGAUACUAUCUUACUAGAGAUCGAGAGAAGUUGGCGGAAUUCCAAGUGUAGAGGUGAAAUUCGUAGAUAUUUGGAAGAACACCAGUGGCGAAAGCGGCCAACUGGCUCGUUUCUGACGCUAAGACGCGAAAGCGUGGGUAGCAAACAGGAUUAGAUACCCCAGUAGUC